rnacentral:rRNA from 1 species
AUUGAACGCUGGCGGCAGGCUUAACACAUGCAAGUCGAGCGGAGCGAGGGUGCUUGCACCUUAGCUUAGCGGCGGACGGGUGAGUAAUGCUUAGGAAUCUGCCUAUUAGUGGGGGACAACAUUCCGAAAGGAAUGCUAAUACCGCAUACGCCCUACGGGGGAAAGCAGGGGAUCUUCGGACCUUGCGCUAAUAGAUGAGCCCAGGUCGGAUUAGCUAGGUGGUGGGGUAAAGGCCUACCAAGGCGACGAUCUGUAGCGGGUCUGAGAGGAUGAUCCGCCACACUGGGACUGAGACACGGCCCAGACUCCUACGGGAGGCAGCAGUGGGGAAUAUUGGACAAUGGGCGGAAGCCUGAUCCAGCCAUGCCGCGUGUGUGAAGAAGGCCUUUUGGUUGUAAAGCACUUUAAGCGAGGAGGAGGCUACUUAGAUUAAUACUCUGGGAUAGUGGACGUUACUCGCAGAAUAAGCACCGGCUAACUCUGUGCCAGCCGCCGCGGUAA